rnacentral:rRNA from 1 species
GAUGAACGCUGGCGGCGUGCCUAAUACAUGCAAGUCGAGCGAAUGGAUUAAGAGCUUGCUCUUAUGAAGUUAGCGGCGGACGGGUGAGUAACACGUGGGUAACCUGCCCAUAAGACUGGGAUAACUACGGGAAACCGGGGCUACUACCGGAUAACAUUUUGAACAGCAUGGUUCGAAAUGGAAAGGCGGCUUCGGCUGUCGCCGAUGGAUGGUCCAGCGUCGCAUUAGCUAGUUGGUGAGGUAACGGCUCACCAAGGCAACGCUGCGUAGCCGACCUGAGAGGGUGAUCGGCUACACUGGGACUGCGACACGGCCCAGACUCCUACGGGAGGCAGCAGUAGGGAAUCUUCCGCAAUGGACGAAAGUCUGACGGAGCAACGCCGCGUGAGUGAUGAAGGCUUUCGGGUCGUAAAACUCUAUUGUUAGGGAAGAACAAGUGCUAGUUGAAUAAGCUGGCACCUUGACGGUACCUAACCAGAAAGCCACGGCUAACUACGUGCCAGCAGCCGCGGUAA